UGAGGCGGCGAAACUGGUUUAGCCGAGGCUGGUGGUGGCGUACAGCACAAACAUACACAAGAUUUAUCUUCUUGUGGUAUAACAUAGGCCUCUUGUUGUGACAAGGAACAAUGACAAUGACAACCACAAUCUGCUUCCGCGUCAGCCUUCAAACAUGAUGUCGACAACACCAAAACUAACAACGUAAUGACUAAACUUUUUCUCAUUGUCUUUGUUUUCUUCUCUACCAAAACUCAC
rnacentral:lncRNA from 1 species